GCAUCAUUGGUCUAGUGGUAGAAUUCAUCGUUGCCAUGGCUUUGAGCUUAAAGUUAGAAGUUCGAUGAGGCCCGUGUUCGAUUCACGGAUGAUGCA